rnacentral:rRNA from 1 species
GACGAACGCUGGCGGCGUGCUUAACACAUGCAAGUCGAACGGAAAGGCCCUGCUUUUGUGGGGUGCUCGAGUGGCGAACGGGUGAGUAACACGUGAGUAACCUGCCCUUGACUUUGGGAUAACUUCAGGAAACUGGGGCUAAUACCGGAUAGGAGCUCCUGCUGCAUGGUGGGGGUUGGAAAGUUUCGGCGGUUGGGGAUGGACUCGCGGCUUAUCAGCUUGUUGGUGGGGUAGUGGCUUACCAAGGCUUUGACGGGUAGCCGGCCUGAGAGGGUGACCGGCCACAUUGGGACUGAGAUACGGCCCAGACUCCUACGGGAGGCAGCAGUGGGGAAUAUUGCACAAUGGGCGGAAGCCUGAUGCAGCAACGCCGCGUGCGGGAUGACGGCCUUCGGGUUGUAAACCGCUUUCGCCUGUGACGAAGCGUGAGUGACGGUAAUGGGUAAAGAAGCACCGGCUAACUACGUGCCAGCAGCCGCGGUGAUACGUAGGGUGCGAGCGUUGUCCGGAUUUAUUGGGCGUAAAGGGCUCGUAGGUGGUUGAUCGCGUCGGAAGUGUAAUCUUGGGGCUUAACCCUGAGCGUGCUUUCGAUACGGGUUGACUUGAGGAAGGUAGGGGAGAAUGGAAUUCCUGGUGGAGCGGUGGAAUGCGCAGAUAUCAGGUGGAACACCAGUGGCGAAGGCGGUUCUCUGGGCCUUUCCUGACGCUGAGGAGCGAAAGCGUGGGGAGCGAACAGGCUUAGAUACCCUGGUAGUCCACGCUGUAAACGGUGGGUACUAGGUGUGGGGUCCAUUCCACGGGUUCCGUGCCGUAGCUAACGCUUUAAGUACCCCGCCUGGGGAGUACGGCCGCAAGGCUAAAACUCAAAGGAAUUGACGGGGCCCCGCACAAGCGGCGGAGCAUGCGGAUUAAUUCGAUGCAACGCGUAGAACCUUACCUGGGUUUGACAUGGAUCGGGAGCGCUCAGAGAUGGGUGUGCCUCUUUUGGGGUCGGUUCACAGGUGGUGCAUGGCUGUCGUCAGCUCGUGUCGUGAGAUGUUGGGUUAAGUCCCGCAACGAGCGCAACCCUUGUUCACUGUUGCCAGCACGUUAUGGUGGGGACUCAGUGGAGACCGCCGGGGUCAACUCGGAGGAAGGUGGGGAUGACGUCAAGUCAUCAUGCCCCUUAUGUCCAGGGCUUCACGCAUGCUACAAUGGCUGGUACAGAGAGUGGCGAGCCUGUGAGGGUGAGCGAAUCUCGGAAAGCCGGUCUCAGUUCGGAUUGGGGUCUGCAACUCGACCUCAUGAAGUCGGAGUCGCUAGUAAUCGCAGAUCAGCAACGCUGCGGUGAAUACGUUCCCGGGGCU